UUCCUCUGGACAGGUUUUGAUAAAUCUCCCCCCAAUUUGUGUGUGCAUGUUCCAGCAUCACUUCCAAACGGCCAAAGAUAUAAACAUGAAACUUGGUACACAUGUUAAUAUGUCAACAACAAACAUAGGAUAGAGGCUCUGCUAACAAAGUGAGGAACCAAUGAUGUUCAGGCAUCAGAUUUUGCAGAGGAAGACGUAGCUGGAAGAAGUCCUGGUGCCUGGACAAGAUGAAGAAAAGGAAGGACAACAGAGAAGACAUCACUCAGGGCGAACCCCCGUUGGCAGAUGACUUCAAGAGAUAUGCCCAUACGGUUUAACCUAUUUCUCUUUUUAUAUAUCUAUUAUAAUUAAGAGCUAACCGGACAUUAUUGCACAAACUAUGUGAUUCACUAUUACUGUCUGGUGUGUGUUUGUUUUAGGGGUUUAAUUAACAGACCCUGGCAGUAUAAAAGAAACUCCUUAUGCUCUAAAUACUCCCCUGAUGACAUCGCUGAAUAAGACAAUAGAAAUGUGUUGGAGGAACCAGUCGCCGGAGAUGGACGACUGAAGGAGUGCGAUUCCUAGAUCAUCCGUGUGAGACGUUCUAAUAGAUCCAGGAUGUACAUUUGAUUCAAAUUAUAGCACUCCGGAGCUAAUAUACUUAUUUCUUAAUAGCUCUUAUAAUUGCAUAAUAACUACAAUACAAGCACUUAAUACACAAUAUUUGCUUUAUUAUUUUUAAUAUAACCAAUAAAAGGAAAA